GUCUGAUCGAACAAUAAAAGCAUUCUUACACCUACACCUCAUACCAGGGCUCACUUAAGAUUAAGAAACUUUCAGCUGGGCGUGGUGGCUCACACCCGUAGUCCUAGCACGUUGGAAGGCCAAGGCGGGCAGGCAGAUCACCUGAGGUCAGGAAUUCAAGACCAGCCCCGCUGUAGUAGAGAAACCCCAUCUCUACCAAAAAUACAAAAAUUAGCCAAGUGUUGUGGUGUGUCCGGAAUGAGUGGGUUCUUGGUCUCGCUGCCUUCAAGAAUAAAGCCGCAGACCUUCAGGGAAUCUUGCAAGCCCAUUGAUGCCACGUCGGUAGGUUGAAAUUCACCGACAUCAGCUCCAAGAGGACAAGAAUCCUGUUUUGUUCACACAUGUUACCUGAAUGCCUCGAACGGUGCCUGGCACAUAAAAGACGCUUAACAAAUAUUUGUUGAAUAAAAAAAUGAAUUUGUGCAUUGCAUUGGCUCUGAGUGUGAUGCUUCCCUAAACCAGUUCCCCCACUCCCCUACAAUUCCUCUCUUAAUAUUUGUUUUAAGCUACGAUGUUCUUUAGAAUUGUUUUUUCUCUUAAAUAUGACCCCUGUUGCUUUCUCUCUUUAGGAAUAAUUCCAAGUUUCUGGUUCAUUAAUGAAGCUUUUUAUUAUUUCCUCACACUGUUAUAGAUUUGUUUUUUUUAAUUUGUUAAAAGGUACAACAUUACAGCUAAGAGGAACAAGUUCUAGUGUUCUAUAAUACUGCACGAUGACUAUAGUUAACAAUAAUAUAGUAUAUAGUUUCAAAGAGCUAGAAAGAGGAUAUUGAACGUUCUCACACGAAGAAAUGACAAAUGUUUGAGGUGAUGGACAUGUAAACUACCUUGAUGUGAUCGCCAUACAUUAUAUAUAUAUUGAAACAUUACUAUGUACUCCUUGAAUAUAUACAACUAUUAUUUGUCAAUUAAUAGAAUAGAAUGAAAUAAAUAAUAAUAAAUGACUAUACCUCUCCACC
rnacentral:lncRNA from 10 species